GGCUCCGUUCCGCCUCAACUUC
rnacentral:siRNA from 1 species